UUCUCCCCUUUUUUUUGCCUCUUUCGACCAGUAUUUUUGCUUUCUAUUUUCUUCCUUCCAAUCUGAUGAUUAGAGACCGACGAUGCUGCAAAGUCUUUGUUAAUGGUCUUCAUGUAUCAUAAUAGAACUCAAAACACCAAUUAAUCUAGAAGAUUUUUUCAAUCUUUGAUUUUGCUCGAAUCACCAACUAAGCCACAUAUUUAACAUAUGAAGACUGGGAAGAGGGUAAAUGAUCAGAAACCCAUCCUAGUCAUCUUUAUAUAUUGUCCAUACCAAACUAAUGAAUAAAUUUUUGAGGAAAACCUGUUCU
rnacentral:lncRNA from 1 species